rnacentral:rRNA from 1 species
CAAUAGCGUAUACUAAAGUUGUUGCGGUUAAAAAGCUCGUAGUUGGAUUUCUGCUGAGGACGAUCGGUCCGCCCACUGGGUGAGUAUCUGGCUCGGCCUUGGCAUCUUCUUGGAGAACGUUGCUGCACUUGACUGUGUGGUGCGGUAUCCAGGACUUUUACUUUGAGGAAAUUAGAGUGUUUCAAGCAGGCGCACGCCUUGAAUACAUUAGCAUGGAAUAAUAAGAUAGGACCUUGGUUCUAUUUUGUUGGUUUCUAGAGCUGAGGUAAUGAUUAAUAGGGAUAGUUGGGGGCAUUCGUAUUUAACUGUCGGAGGUGAAAUUCUUGGAUUUGUUAAAGACGGACUACUGCGAANGNAUUUGGNAAGGAUGUUUNCAUUG